AGAGACUCUGCUCUCCUCGUUUGGAUUAAUUCUGAUAUAAUAACUGUUGGUUUAUUUAUCGGUGCAGCAGCAGAACAUUUUCCACAGACAGUUUUCCUGCCCGUUGGCUUGUUUUAACCAGUUUUCUGCCUCCAGCUGAUUCUACCAGCAGACACUGAAAGGACUCUGAUAGUUCGGUGUCUCAUGUUCACUGUGAGGAUCUUCUGAGUGAAGCCAACAGAAGGAAAACCUCAUCUGGAUGUGAAGAAGGAGACUGAAUGGACGACAUCCUCAGUGAACCACUUCCUGUUUAACUUUCACUUACAGAAGAGUGAAAGUAGCAGUUCCUCCUGAAGGUCAGAGAUUGCAGCAUCUGAGGGCCUUUUCAAAAGAAGAUGUAGUUGAUGAAGGCGUUCUGGAGCAGGACCAGAAAGACCA